UCUCAGGCCUCAGGAAGGACCCAGAUGAGUACAAACUCAAAAUUUUUUGAAGACUAGGACAGAUGGGGAGACUUCAUUUAGAGGGAAAAUGGGGAUGGAACAAGCCACGAAAUGCUGCAGUGAUCUAACUAUAUAGGGGGAAUCUCUGUCUUUCUUUGUAUUUCCAUUUUCUCGACAACUGCUCAUCUGAUCAACUUCAAAAAUGGCAAGUGUGUUGCAGAGGAAACAAACAAGUACGGUGAUGAACGGUUCUUUGGAAACAUUGCUUUUCUAUGAGAAGAAAAAGGCAAAACUAGUGUACACUACGAGUGAGGCACCAAGACAAUUUACCACUUGCACAUGCCAAGGUACACAUUUAAUAGUUUUUCGGUGGUUAGUGUCAAACAACACCUCUAUGUGAUUGGAUAUAACCAAUGGUGGAAUUAAUAAUAGAUGCAUUAGUUAGGGGAAUUGUUAGCUAUUGAUGUUGGUGACAAAAUGCAGAACAAUGAUUUGAAAACCGGUCCUUCUCAAAUGGGUUCCCUUGUGUGCAUGUGUUUGUGAGUUUGUAUGACCAAGAGGUUUUUUCUAUGUGAAUUAUAUAUAAUAUGUUGUUGUUUUGAUCUUCCCAGCAGCCUAACGUGUCUGUACAGAUAUCUGUCUAUCUAUGUACAGGGGUGUGACAGCCAUUAAAAAGCAGCCACCACAGCAGUAUUUCUUUGGCCCCUGACCCAGCAGGUGACUUCCCUUUCAGCCAGUACACCGGGUGUUACCCUCAAGGCCCCACUACGAUACAAUGUUCACCAUUAAACAACAUUCAGUCAUUGUUCUUCAGUAAGACAUCAUUUCACGGGCCUAAUACGAAACCUACUCUACAACCAUGUUUCACCCUGUAUCCCAUUACACUGAGAAUCAUCAUCCUUCCCCCCUAUGUCAAACUGUGUCGGGGAUUCUGCGGAAGGACUUUCGCCUUCUGUCACACUGCCCCACUCAGAAUGGAAAAGAAAUAUUUAUACCUGCCAGACAGAUUGACUGAUGUUUAAUUCAUCAGUUUAAGAGUGUGGCCCUGCUGACCUUGGACUCCGGGAGGUGACGCGUUUCAGGGUGUAUGACCCCUCAUUAACACUCAAUGGGGACAAUCUUCUCAAAUUGGCUCACUUGUGUUUGUGUGCCUGAGUUUGUAUGACCAAGAUAUAUAUAUAUAAAAAAGGAAAUGUAUUAUAUAUAA